AGUGAACGCUGGCGGUAGGCCUAACACAUGCCAGUCGAACGGCAGCACAGUAAGAGCUUGCUCUUACGGGUGGCGAGUGGCGGACGGGUGAGGAAUACAUCGGAAUCUACUUUUUCGUGGGGGAUAACGUAGGGAAACUUACGCUAAUACCGCAUACGACCUACGGGUGAAAGCAGGGGAUCUUCGGACCUUGCGCGAUUGAAUGAGCCGAUGUCGGAUUAGCUAGUUGGCGGGGUAAAGGCCCACCAAGGCGACGAUCCGUAACUGGUCUGAGAGGAUGAUCAGCCACACUGGAACUGAGACACGGUCCAGACUCCUACGGGAGGCAGCAGUGGGGAAUAUUGGACAAUGGGCGCAAGCCUGAUCCAGCCAUACCGCGUGGGUGAAGAAGGCCUUCGGGUUGUAAAGCCCUUUUGUUGGGAAAGAAAAGCAGCAGGUUAAUACCCCGCUGUUCUGACGGUACCCAAAGAAUAAGCACCGGCUAACUUCGUG
rnacentral:rRNA from 1 species